rnacentral:rRNA from 1 species
GAUGAACGCUGGCGGCGUGCCUAAUACAUGCAAGUCGAGCGAACAGACGAGGAGCUUGCUCCUCUGACGUUAGCGGCGGACGGGUGAGUAACACGUGGAUAACCUACCUAUAAGACUGGGAUAACUUCGGGAAACCGGAGCUAAUACCGGAUAAUAUAUUGAACCGCAUGGUUCAAUAGUGAAAGACGGUUUUGCUGUCACUUAUAGAUGGAUCCGCGCCGCAUUAGCUAGUUGGUAAGGUAACGGCUUACCAAGGCAACGAUGCGUAGCCGACCUGAGAGGGUGAUCGGCCACACUGGAACUGAGACACGGUCCAGACGACUACGGGAGGCAGCAGUAGGGAAUCUUCCGCAAUGGGCGAAAGCUUGACGGAGCAGCGCCGCGUGAGUGAUGAAGGUCUUCGGAUCGUAAAACUCUGUUAUUAGGGAAGAACAAAUGUGUAAGUAACUAUGCACGUCUUGACGGUACCUAAUCAGAAAGCCACGGCUAACUACGUG